AAAUUGAAGAGUUUGAUCAUGGCUCAGAUUGAACGCUGGCGGCAGGCCUAACACAUGCAAGUCGAACGGUAACAGGAAGCAGCUUGCUGCUUUGCUGACGAGUGGCGGACGGGUGAGUAAUGUCUGGGAAACUGCCUGAUGGAGGGGGAUAACUACUGGAAACGGUGGCUAAUACCGCAUAAUGUCGCAAGACCAAAGAGGGGGACCUUCGGGCCUCUUGCCAUCAGAUGUGCCCAGAUGGGAUUAGCUUGUUGGUGAGGUAACGGCUCACCAAGGCGACGAUCCCUAGCUGGUCUGAGAGGAUGACCAGCCACACUGGAACUGAGACACGGUCCAGACUCCUACGGGAGGCAGCAGUGGGGAAUAUUGCACAAUGGGCGCAAGCCUGAUGCAGCCAUGCCGCGUGUAUGAAGAAGGCCUUCGGGUUGUAAAGUACUUUCAGCGGGGAGGAAGGUGUUGUGGUUAAUAACCGCAGCAAUUGACGUUACCCGCAGAAGAAGCACCGGCUAACUCCGUGCCAGCAGCCGCGGUAAUACGGAGGGUGCAAGCGUUAAUCGGAAUUACUGGGCGUAAAGCGCACGCAGGCGGUCUGUCAAGUCGGAUGUGAAAUCCCCGGGCUCAACCUGGGAACUGCAUUCGAAACUGGCAGGCUUGAGUCUUGUAGAGGGGGGUAGAAUUCCAGGUGUAGCGGUGAAAUGCGUAGAGAUCUGGAGGAAUACCGGUGGCGAAGGCGGCCCCCUGGACAAAGACUGACGCUCAGGUGCGAAAGCGUGGGGAGCAAACAGGAUUAGAUACCCUGGUAGUCCACGCCGUAAACGAUGUCUACUUGGAGGUUGUGCCCUUGAGGCGUGGCUUCCGGAGCUAACGCGUUAAGUAGACCGCCUGGGGAGUACGGCCGCAAGGUUAAAACUCAAAUGAAUUGACGGGGGCCCGCACAAGCGGUGGAGCAUGUGGUUUAAUUCGAUGCAACGCGAAGAACCUUACCUGGUCUUGACAUCCACGGAAGUUUUCAGAGAUGAGAAUGUGCCUUCGGGAACCGUGAGACAGGUGCUGCAUGGCUGUCGUCAGCUCGUGUUGUGAAAUGUUGGGUUAAGUCCCGCAACGAGCGCAACCCUUAUCCUUUGUUGCCAGCGAUUAGGUCGGGAACUCAAAGGAGACUGCCAGUGAUAAACUGGAGGAAGGUGGGGAUGACGUCAAGUCAUCAUGGCCCUUACGACCAGGGCUACACACGUGCUACAAUGGCGCAUACAAAGAGAAGCGACCUCGCGAGAGCAAGCGGACCUCAUAAAGUGCGUCGUAGUCCGGAUUGGAGUCUGCAACUCGACUCCAUGAAGUCGGAAUCGCUAGUAAUCGUGGAUCAGAAUGCCACGGUGAAUACGUUCCCGGGCCUUGUACACACCGCCCGUCACACCAUGGGAGUGGGUUGCAAAAGAAGUAGGUAGCUUAACCUUCGGGAGGGCGCUUACCACUUUGUGAUUCAUGACUGGGGUGAAGUCGUAACAAGGUAACCGUAGGGGAACCUGCGGUUGGAUCACCUCCUUACCUUAAAGAA
rnacentral:rRNA from 1 species